rnacentral:tRNA from 1 species
GGGGCGUAGCCUAGCAAUCUAGAAAGGGCUGAAGGUCUACGGCGCCGGGCUCCAGACCCGGAGACCGUGGGUUCAAAUCCCACCGCCCCCA